CGUCAGGUAGUUCGGUGAUUUAGAGCAGUCGCCCGGCAAGCGAAAAGACCCGGGUUCGAUUCCCGGCGCGACUA
rnacentral:tRNA from 1 species